CAGCCUCCUGCUCUCUCUUCUGCCUCCUCUCAGCCUCCUGCUCUCUCUUCAGCCUCCUUUCAGCCUCCUGCUCUCUCUUCUGCCUCAUCUCAGCCUCCUCCACACACAUCGGUCUAUGAUUCAUCUCCCUUUAUGCAGCCAGGAGCAGGUGUCACAAGACGACAACAAGCUAUUAAACUUAAAAUGAAAGAAUGCAGAAAACACCGUCUACAAAAGAUAUUCCCUUAUGAAUGCAUCGUUGAUAGAAGACUUGUUAAUUGGCAAAGUGUGGGACGACACCUGGGAGCCAGCCAAAGACUAUUCAUAGAAGAAGCAGUGUUC